GAUGAACGCUGGCGGCGUGUCUAAGGCAUGCAAGUCGAACGAACUGCCUUUCUUCGGAAAGAACAGUUAGUGGCAAACGGGAGAGUAACACAUUGGUAACCUACCUCGAAGUCGUGAAUAAUCCGGUGAAAACCGGACUAAUACGCGAUAUUGAUGGGGGGUCUUCGGACAUUCCCAUUGAAAGUUUUUCGCUUCGAGAGGGGCCUACGUCUUAUCAGCUUGUUGGUGUGGUAAAAGCUCACCAAGGCAAUGACGAGUACCGGGCGUGAGAGCGUGACCCGGCUCACUGGGACUGAGACACUGCCCAGACGCCUACGGGCGGCUGCAGUCAAGAAUCUUCCCCAAUGCACGAAAGUGUGAGGGAGCGACGCCGCGUGCCAGAUGAAGGUCUUCGGAUCGUAAAUGGCUUUUCUUAAGGACGAACAAAUGACGGUACUUAAGGAAUAAGAGGUUGCUAACUCUGUG
rnacentral:rRNA from 1 species